AUGAAGAUCUUGGUGACUGAGUGGCGGACGGGUGAGUAACGCGUGGGUAACCUGCCUCAUACAGGGGGAUAACAGUUGGAAACGACUGCUAAUACCGCAUGACGCAUAGGGGUCGCAUGAUCUUUAUGCCAAAGAUUUAUCGCUUCAAGAUGGCCUCGCGUCUGAUUAGCUGGUUGGCGGGGUAACGGCCCACCAAGGCGACGAUCAGUAGCCGGACUGAGAGGUUGAACGGCCACAUUGGGACUGAGAUACGGCCCAGACUCC
rnacentral:rRNA from 1 species